CUUCGCCUCUCCGCCUGCGGGAGAAUUUCGCCGCCAGCCAGGUUCCUCUGAUCGGGUGGGGCUCUCGCUGAGAUCACCAUGAACAACCCAGGUGAAGACAGGCCUGAAGCAAGCAGAGUCUUGCUGGCCCCAGGAGGAUUUCCCCCAAUGAGCAAGAAGAAACAACCUCUUAUUUGACUGCUCGACAGGGAAGCUUACAGAAGAUGCCAGUUUCUCGAGGCCUGCCUUCUGUAGGGAAGAAGCAGGACUUGAGAAGCAAGGAGAACUCUGAGGAGCUGGCAGUCCAGACUCUGCCACCAAUCAUUGGGUGGCCAGGGAUGGGAUGACCAGGAUGACAGGAGGAGGUGGGGCUGACUUCGAGUGUUCUAAUCCUGCCUCUUUAUUAACUAUAUAAAUGUGGACGAAGCCUUCCUAAGCCACUUCUCCUCAGGCUUAUGAUUUCCACCAAAGUGACCUGUUUUUUCUCCUACUCCAAUAGAGAAAUUGCUUCAAACUUGUUCUGGGCCCAGGUCUGUUUUCCAAGCCGUCUGCCUGGCUCAGAAAUUUAGCUCCUGCCAGGGACCACUUUCUUGUGCAAACAAGGACAGCUAUUUCCCCCAGGCCCUGGCUCAGAGGAAUGUUAAACUCUGUCAAGGCCUUUGUGGGACAUCCUGGGAGUAAAUACAAUUUAUAUCCAUUUCAUCAUUGGAUGCCGGGCCUGUUUUAUAGAGCUCUCUAUCCCAGUUACGCAACCCAGUCCAAUCAUGUCUAAUAUAUUCAUAGCCAAGAUACAAGAUAUUCUCUUGCUGCUGUCCUUGAAGUAUCUUUUUACUUUGGACUUAACUGAUCCUCUCAAAUGGGUAGCCAGGGCCAGGGAAUGCGCACGGGGAUUAACAGGACUGAGUUAAGGCUGACCGCAAAGGCAAAUCGUUGCCAUUCA